GGGUUGUGAGGUUAAGCGACUAAGCGUACACGGUGGAUGCCCUGGCAGUCAGAGGCGAUGAAGGACGUGCUAAUCUGCGAAAAGCGUCGGUAAGGUGAUAUGAACCGUUACAGCCGGCGAUGUCCGAAUGGGGAAACCCAGUGUGAUUCGUCACACUAUCGUUAACUGAAUACAUAGGUUAACGAGGCGAACCGGGGGAACUGAAACAUCUAAGUACCCCGAGGAAAAGAAAUCAACCGAGAUUCCCCCAGUAGCGGCGAGCGAACGGGGAGCAGCCCAGAGUCUGAAUCAGCUUGUGUGUUAGUGGAACGGUCUGGAAAGUCCGACGGUACAGGGUGAUAGUCCCGUACACCAAAAUGCACAGGCUGUGAACUCGAAGAGUAGGGCGGGACACGUGGUAUCCUGUCUGAAUAUGGGGGGACCAUCCUCCAAGGCUAAAUACUCCUGACUGACCGAUAGUGAACCAGUACCGUGAGGGAAAGGCGAAAAGAACCCCGGCGAGGGGAGUGAAAAAGAACCUGAAACCGUGUACGUACAAGCAGUGGGAGCACCUUCGGGUGUGACUGCGUACCUUUUGUAUAAUGGGUCAGCGACUUAUAUUCUGUAGCAAGGUUAACCGUAUAGGGGAGCCGCAGGGAAACCGAGUCUUAACUGGGCGUUAAGUUGCAGGGUAUAGACCCGAAACCCGGUGAUCUAGCCAUGGGCAGGUUGAAGGUUGGGUAACACUAACUGGAGGACCGAACCGACUAAUGUUGAAAAAUUAGCGGAUGACUUGUGGCUGGGGGUGAAAGGCCAAUCAAACCGGGAGAUAGCUGGUUCUCCCCGAAAGCUAUUUAGGUAGCGCCUCGUGAAUUCAUCUUCGGGGGUAGAGCACUGUUUCGGCUAGGGGGUCAUCCCGACUUACCAACCCGAUGCAAACUACGAAUACCGAAGAAUGUUAUCACGGGAGACACACGGCGGGUGCUAACGUCCGUCGUGAAGAGGGAAACAACCCAGACCGCCAGCUAAGGUCCCAAAGUCAUGGUUAAGUGGGAAACGAUGUGGGAAGGCACAGACAGCCAGGAUGUUGGCUUAGAAGCAGCCAUCAUUUAAAGAAAGCGUAAUAGCUCACUGGUCGAGUCGGCCUGCGCGGAAGAUGUAACGGGGCUAAACCAUGCACCGAAGCUGCGGCAGCGACACUAUGUGUUGUUGGGUAGGGGAGCGUUCUGUAAGCCUGCGAAGGUGACCUGUGAGGGUUGCUGGAGGUAUCAGAAGUGCGAAUGCUGACAUAAGUAACGAUAAAGCGGGUGAAAAGCCCGCUCGCCGGAAGACCAAGGGUUCCUGUCCAACGUUAAUCGGGGCAGGGUGAGUCGACCCCCUAAGGCGAGGCCGAAAGGCGUAGUCGAUGGGAAACAGGUUAAUAUUCCUGUACUUGGUGUUACUGCGAAGGGGGGACGGAGAAGGCUAUGUUAGCCGGGCGACGGUUGUCCCGGUUUAAGCAUGUAGGCUGGUUGUCCAGGCAAAUCCGGAUAAUCAAGGCUGAGGUGUGAUGACGAGGCACUACGGUGCUGAAGUAACAAAUGCCCUGCUUCCAGGAAAAGCCUCUAAGCAUCAGGUAACAUCAAAUCGUACCCCAAACCGACACAGGUGGUCAGGUAGAGAAUACCAAGGCGCUUGAGAGAACUCGGGUGAAGGAACUAGGCAAAAUGGUGCCGUAACUUCGGGAGAAGGCACGCUGGUGUGUAGGUGAAGUCCCUGCGGAUGGAGCUGAGACCAGUCGAAGAUACCAGCUGGCUGCAACUGUUUAUUAAAAACACAGCACUGUGCAAACACGAAAGUGGACGUAUACGGUGUGACGCCUGCCCGGUGCCGGAAGGUUAAUUGAUGGGGUUAUCCGUAAGGAGAAGCUCUUGAUCGAAGCCCCGGUAAACGGCGGCCGUAACUAUAACGGUCCUAAGGUAGCGAAAUUCCUUGUCGGGUAAGUUCCGACCUGCACGAAUGGCGUAAUGAUGGCCAGGCUGUCUCCACCCGAGACUCAGUGAAAUUGAACUCGCUGUGAAGAUGCAGUGUACCCGCGGCAAGACGGAAAGACCCCGUGAACCUUUACUAUAGCUUGACACUGAACAUUGAGCCUUGAUGUGUAGGAUAGGUGGGAGGCUUUGAAGCGUGGACGCCAGUCUGCGUGGAGCCAACCUUGAAAUACCACCCUUUAAUGUUUGAUGUUCUAACGUUGGCCCUUACCGGGGUUGCGGACAGUGUCUGGUGGGUAGUUUGACUGGGGCGGUCUCCUCCCAAAGCGUAACGGAGGAGCACGAAGGUUAGCUAAUCCUGGUCGGACAUCAGGAGGUUAGUGCAAUGGCAUAAGCUAGCUUGACUGCGAGCGUGACGGCGCGAGCAGGUGCGAAAGCAGGUCAUAGUGAUCCGGUGGUUCUGAAUGGAAGGGCCAUCGCUCAACGGAUAAAAGGUACUCCGGGGAUAACAGGCUGAUACCGCCCAAGAGUUCAUAUCGACGGCGGUGUUUGGCACCUCGAUGUCGGCUCAUCACAUCCUGGGGCUGAAGUAGGUCCCAAGGGUAUGGCUGUUCGCCAUUUAAAGUGGUACGCGAGCUGGGUUUAGAACGUCGUGAGACAGUUCGGUCCCUAUCUGCCGUGGGCGCUGGAGAAUUGAGGGGCUGCUCCUAGUACGAGAGGACCGGAGUGGACGCAUCACUGGUGUUCGGGUUGUCAUGCCAAUGGCACUGCCCGGUAGCUAAAUGCGGAAGAGAUAAGUGCUGAAAGCAUCUAAGCACGAAACUUGCCCCGAGAUGAGUUCUCCCUGAGACUUUAAGUCUCCUGAAGGAACGUUAAAGACGAUGACGUUGAUAGGCCGGGUGUGUAAGCGCAGCGAUGCGUUGAGCUAACCGGUACUAAUGAACCGUGAGGCUUAACCUUACAACGCCGAAG
rnacentral:rRNA from 1 species